rnacentral:rRNA from 1 species
AAUUUCUGAGGUAUCAGCCAUCUCCACUGUCGGCUCUGUCUCACCCCUGAACUGGGUUAAACGGGGAAUUUGGGUUGGAAACAAGAGAGGGAGCCUGAGAAACGGCUACCACAUCUCACGAAGGCACAGGCGCGCAAAUUACCCGAUCCCAAGACAGGGAGGUAGUGGCAAAAAAUAACAAUACAGGACUUUUUGGUUUUGUUAUUGGAAUGAAUUAAGUUUAAACCCCUUUACAAGUAUCAGUUGUAACCGGCAGUUGAAAUACCUGAAGCGUCAGAAAUUCCAACGACAUGACCCAAAAUUUGGGAUCCGAAAAGUUUUUAUGAGUCACC